GACGAACGCUGGCGGCGUGCUUAACACAUGCAAGUCGAACGAUGAAGCCGGAGCUUGCUCUGGUGAAUUAGUGGCGAACGGGUGAGUAACACGUGAGUAACCUGCCCUUGACUCUGGGAUAACUGCUAGAAAUGGUAGCUAAUACCGGAUACGACCCUCGGAGGCAUCUCCAGGGGGUGGAAAGAAUUUCGGUCAAGGAUGGACUCGCGGCCUAUCAGCUAGUUGGUGAGGUAACGGCUCACCAAGGCGACGACGGGUAGCCGGCCUGAGAGGGGGACCGGCCACACUGGGACUGAGACACGGCCCAGACUCCUACGGGAGGCAGCAGUGGGGAAUAUUGCACAAUGGGCGCAAGCCUGAUGCAGCGACGCCGCGUGAGGGAUGACGGCCUUCGGGUUGUAAACCUCUUACAGCACCGACGAAGCGCAAGUGACGGUAGGUGCAGAAGAAGGACCGGCCAACUACGUGCCAGCAGCCGCCGUAA
rnacentral:rRNA from 1 species